rnacentral:lncRNA from 1 species
AUAUUUUGGUAUUUGUGCCCCAAUGCUCUUAUUAUCAUAAAAGAACUUUGAAGUCAUUAAGAAUUAAUGAUCCAACAUGAUGAUAUGUUUUUCAAGUAUAUAAGUUUUGAUCUUAUACUCUGAAAAUUAAUUAAAUUACUCUCAUGUGGAUAAAAUACUUAAUAUAUUGGACAAAAGAUCUUAAAUGAACAAGCUUUCAUACUUAUUAUUAAAGAGAGGUUAGAUUUCCAUUCGUGCUUUCCUUGAAUAUCAUUUGUGGUACUUCUUGAAUUAACUUAAGAAAGAUUCCAUCUACACUUGAGUUGAAAACUAUCCUUGGAAUCACAUUAGAUGUGCUCUCAUCAUAAUUUGCUCUGAAAUUAUCCAAAAUGGCUCUGAUCUAUGCUCAUUUAUCUUUUUCUAACAUUAUUGCCUUGAGCAUUCUUAUCGUUGUGCUUAAUGUUUCACUAUCUUUUUGAUGUUGUCAAAAAGGGGGAGAAAUAU